rnacentral:lncRNA from 1 species
AAAAUUCAAUGCGUUAAGACCCCUCUUCUGAUCUUAACAUACAUGCAUUGACAAAGUCGUGUAAUCCUCUCUUCUAGAUUACCACAACAACUCAUACAAUACUUAGCAUAGCAACACAACUCCAAUAUAUAUAAUAAUUUAACUCAAUAAAAUUAUUAAUUUAUAUAUAUGUGGUUCACCUUUAACUCAACGAUACACAACAACAUACUUAUAAAAUCAACAAGUAUUCAAUAGAAAGCAUAAUAAUUUACCACAAC